CGUAUUUUUUUUUUUUUUUUGAAAAAUUCAUUUUUAACUUUAAAUCAUCUCCGGCAUGAAAUAGUCAAAAUCUAUUCAGAACAUCAUCAUCACUUAGUGUGUCAUAACGUUAUGUUUGUUUACUAUAUAUAUAUAUAUAUAUAUAUAUAUAGAGAGAGAGAGAUGGAUAGAUAAAGUUAAUACAGCUGCCAUUUUUCUCUUGAUUCUUCACAUAAGUUUAUAUUUAUGUUUCACAACAAAGUUGUUUGUUUGACAACAGAUAAAGAAAAGUGCUCCAACAACCAAGUCUGGUUAUGAUGACAUCACUGCAUGUGUUAGCCAGGCACGGCCUGGUGGACCCAUCAAGUUCUGAGGGAAAAGGUGCAACACACAUUCUACAAAUAUUGCAUAUUUGUACAAAUACAUGCAUUUUGCAGAUAUUGCAUUGGCAUUGUGUAUAACAAUACUAGCGUUUAUUUUUUUUUUGCCAGGACCCCUUUAUUUAUACUGAAAAAAGAAGUCUUGUAUCUCAAACCAUGCCAAAAUAAGUUGUGGAUUUAAGUCUUUCUUAAAAACAAAAAACAACAACAAAAAAAAAAAACAAU